ACACACGCACACGCGCACGCAUAUACAACAUACACAUUCGCAAUUCCAACAUCAAUUCAUUUCCCCAACAACCUACCAAGUUUUUGUCGAGAAAUAUUUGUUUAGUCGAGUUCUAGGGGGCUCCAACGCUACACCGGGCCAUUCUCAAGCCGCAAGCCUCGCUUAGAGUGCGACAUCGAAGGAACUACAUAGAUAUAACGCGAUCAAAACUCCGUUUGUCUCUCAUUCCAACGUACACACCAAGUGAAAGUGCGCCAGUGCUAGUGCAAAAAUAGAGAUCAGCAGCAAAAGCAAACCAAUAAAUCAACAGCGGCGGCCCAGCAGUCGCUCUUUCUUGCAGUCGUCCAAGCAUCCAGGCACCCGUCCAUCGGCAUCUCAUCUCGGCCACGUUAUCGCUUUUCUAACAAGAAACAAAGAACACAAGAAAAGAAAAAAACUUGCUUCGAAUUCCCUAGAAAUUCAUCGUCCGACAUUCCGUCUGGUCUGUGGAUCCAACUGGCAGGAAGGAGAGGAGACAUUCUUAUUGGCAAAUAUUCAAUGUUUUCUUCUUUUGUUCUAAGAAAGCCGGUCGAAUCAUCGAAAGCUGUCUGUCAAUGACCCACGUCGCCUGAUUGUGACUCGAUAUUUGCCUUAUCAAUGCGCUGACUUUUUGCCUGAUUUCAUUUGCUGCGUUUGCUUUUGUUUUUGUUUUUGUUUGUUUGCUUUUGCUGCUAUUGAUAGCUGUCCGGGGAAGUGAGAUAAGGAUCUGCCCUCUCUCUCUCUCUCCCUGUCACUCUUUGAGUAUAAGUCUAAUUGGCGAUCCGAUCCUCCGGUUGCAUUUGCACGUAUGGAGAGAUAGUUACCCCGUAUUCCGAUAACAGAUAAAUGCUAAUAUUCAUGUUGGCGUUUCGUGCGUGACCAAAAAAGAUAAUAGUAUAAGCCACUAAAUCUAAUCGCCAGCGCAGGCCGAAUUGAUUGGCGUGCGGUUAGACAUCCACUAAAUGUAGAGUGAGAGAGGGCUCCGGACGGACGGCACCCAUCCCCUCCUCUCGCGCUAAUGAUUAGAGCUCGCCCCAGCGUCGUCAUUUCUGUUCUACCAAAAUGAUAGUCAUCAAUGCCUUUGACACGGGUUUAACCCUCACGCCAGAAAUGCUGCUCUCCACCUCGGAGUCAUCGACGCACAGCGCCUCCGAGGUUGCCGGCCGACUGCAGGUCGAUGUGCGGACCGGCCUCAAAUGGACGGAGGCCAAGUACCGGGCCAAGAUCAUUGGCCACAAUGAGCUGCUGCUGAUCGAGGAGGAGCCCACAUGGAAGAAGUACAUCGAGCAGUUCAGGAACCCUCUCAUCCUGCUGCUGCUCGGCUCGGCCCUGGUCUCGGUGAUCAUGAAACAGUUCGACGAUGCCGUCAGCAUAACCAUCGCCAUCCUGAUCGUGGUCACGGUGGCCUUCAUCCAGGAGUACCGCUCCGAGAAGAGCCUGGAGGAGCUCAAGAAGCUGGUGCCCCCCGAGUGCCACUGUCUGCGCGAGGGCCGCCUCGACACGUUCCUGGCCCGCGAGCUGGUGCCCGGCGAUGUGGUGCACCUCAACGUGGGCGAUCGUGUGCCCGCCGAUGUGCGUCUCUUCGAGGCCGUCGACCUCUCCAUAGACGAGAGCAGCUUCACGGGCGAAACGGAGCCGGCCCGCAAGAUCACCGACGUCCUGCUGAACAACACGAACGUGAAGGACCACAGCAACAUGAAGAACAUCGCCUUCAUGGGCACCCUGGUGCGCUGCGGCAACGGCAAGGGCAUCGUGGUCAGCACCGGGGAGCGCAGCGAGUUCGGCGAGGUCUUCAAGAUGAUGCAGGCCGAGGAGGCCCCGAAGACGCCGCUCCAAAAGUCAAUGGACAUCCUGGGCGCCCAGCUGAGCUUCUACUCGUUCCUCAUCAUCGGCGUCAUUAUGCUGCUCGGCUGGCUCCAGGGCAAGCCGCUCUCGGAGAUGUUCAACAUCAGCGUCUCGCUGGCAGUGGCCGCCAUACCCGAGGGCCUGCCCAUCGUCGUAACCGUCACCCUGGCCCUGGGCGUCAUGCGGAUGGCCAAGCGCAAUGCGAUCGUCAAGAAGCUGCCCACCGUCGAGACCCUGGGCUGCGUGAACGUCAUCUGCUCGGACAAGACGGGCACUUUGACCAAGAACGAGAUGACGGCCACGAUCAUCAUCACCUCCGACGGCUACAUGGCGGACGUGACCGGCGCCGGGUACAACGACCAGGGCGAGAUCCACAUCCGGCACUGCAACAACGUCGAAAUGGCCAAGACCAACAUCACGAAUCUCCUGGAGAUCGGAGCCGUCUGCAACAACGCGUACAUCCAGAACGGCACGCUGCUGGGCCAGCCCACCGAGGGAGCUCUGGUGGCGGUGGCCAUGAAGAACGGCAUGUACGCCACGGCCGAGAACUAUGUCCGCAUCCAGGAGUACCCGUUCAGCUCCGAGCAGAAGAUGAUGGCCGUCAAGUGCAUCCACAAGUACAACAACAACAAGGAGGAGUUCUUCUUCGCCAAGGGAGCGCUAGAGACGCUCCUGCCGCAGUGCACCAAGUACCAGUUCGGCACGCAGACCGUGCCCCUGACCAAGCAGAACGAGGCGGAGUUCCUCUCCGAGGCCUACGAGAUCGGACGCAAGGGCCUCAGAGUGCUGGCCCUGGCCAAGGGCCGCUCCAUGCAGGAUCUGAUCUACUGCGGCCUGGUGGGCAUCACCGAUCCGCCGCGGCCCCUGGUCAGGGAGUCCAUUGAGAUGCUGAUGCAGAGCGGUGUCCGGGUGAAGAUGGUCACGGGCGAUGCCCAGGAAACGGCCCUGGCCAUUGCCAAUCUCAUCGGCAUCGACACCAUCCACCACCAGACGCUGUCCGGGCAGGAGAUGGAUCAGCUGAACGAACACCAGCUGGACAAGGUGGCCAACAACGUGAGCGUCUUCUAUCGCGUCUCGCCGCGCCACAAGCUGGAGAUAGUCAAGUCGCUGCAGCGCACCGGCAACAUUGUGGGCAUGACUGGGGACGGGGUCAACGACGGAGUGGCCCUGAAGAAGGCGGACAUCGGCAUUGCCAUGGGCAAGAAUGGCACGGAUGUGUGCAAGGAGGCUGCCGACAUGAUCCUGGUCAACGACGAUUUCCACACCAUCAUAGCUGCCAUCGAAGAAGGCAAGGGCAUAUUUUACAACAUUCGGAACUUUGUGCGCUUUCAGCUGAGCACCUCGAUCGCUGCCCUGGCCCUGAUCGCUCUGGCCACGCUGAUGGACAUUGCCAAUCCGCUGAACGCCAUGCAGAUUCUAUGGAUCAACAUUAUUAUGGACGGGCCGCCCGCUCAGUCGCUGGGCGUGGAGCCCGUGGACCACGACGUGCUCAAGCAGAAGCCGCGGAACGUCAAGCAGCCGAUGAUCACCAAGUCGGUGGUGGCGAAUGUGCUGCUGAGUGCCAGCAUCAUAGUGCUGGGCACACUGUGGGUGUUCCAGCGCGAAAUGGCCGACGGCACUUUGGGGAAGACCAAGCGGGACACGACCAUGACCUUUACUUGCUUCGUAUUCUUUGACAUGUUCAACGCCCUGUCGUGCCGAUCGCAGACGAAGAGCGUGUUCACCAUUGGGCUGACCACCAACCGCAUGUUCCUGCUGGCCGUGGCCUUCUCGAUCAUUGGCCAAAUGCUGGUCGUGUACUUUCCACCGCUGCAGAUGGUCUUCCAAACGGAGGCCCUGACGCCCUACGACAUCCUUUUCCUGGUCACGCUCACCUCCUCCGUGCUGGUCGUCUCCGAGAUCAAGAAGUGGUUCGAGCGCACCAUGGAGCGCAAGAUGUACAGCACCCGCUCCGAGCUGGACUUCGUAUGACAAAACGCAAGCGCUAGAGACGAGUUGCACCCGAAAGCCGAGUAAAUUAAAUAACAAACAAAAAUAACAAAAAAAAGAGCAAAACUAUGCCAAAACCAAGUGAGGAGCGUGGUGGACUGGACCGACGAGCAGCAGCAGCAGCAGCAGGAGAGAAGCACGAGAGCAGCGAAGUGUGUGUUUAGUUUUACAUUUGACUCGACUCGACUCGACUCGAAAGUUAGCCAAAAUUUAAUCAGCAAAGCUGGGCGCAACUAGCCCCAUUCCGGACUCCCAUAUUCCCAUAUACAUAAAUAUAUUCGACGUAAGCCUCAAGGUUCGCGUUAGCUCUCUCAGCGAACCAAGAACCACAGAAAUUCAACUGAGCAAUCGUUCAAUCGUCUCUCAGAUUCAAUCCAACAGAUGCAGAUGCUGAUACAGAUGCAACCCACAACCUAAAGUACCCUACCCGAUAAAAAUGUAAAAGAAAUGUGCAGGAGUCGCAGGAGCCCAUAAGACGAGGACGGAGCCCAGGCGCAGUGAAGUGAAGCAAAUGGUUUUUAGUAAUUUUGUUAUCUAAUUUAUUCGGUGUUUGAGAAAACAAGCAACAAAUUUGUGUACAACAACCGCAAAACGAGUCUCUAGUGCGCUAGCAGCCAAAACAAUUUAGAACGCGACUCCAGCUCCCGAACCAACACCUUCGAAGGGGGCGGGGAGGCUGGAGAUCGCCAAAAAAAAAAAGGAAUACUUCGCGUAUAUAAAACAAUGAUUAUGUAUUUUAUAUACGUAUGAAUAUUUGAGUAAUUUGAAUUUGAGAGUCCUAAGUAGACCAAAUGUGUUUUUUAGUUUGCCGCCAAAGAGCAAACAGCAAACAGUUCAAAAACAGAAUAAUGCACAGAACAAUGAGAUGAGCAAGAUGUGUAGCAAGGCAAAGCCAAUUCCUCUCAUAGCAGCACCAGAUUACUGGAAAGUAAUGUAUUUUAUUCAGAUAUAUUCAGAUAUAUUCAGAUAUAUAUUCAAUUCAAAUGGUAUUCGUAGCAAGUAACCCCACAAUGUACUCACCUUAAGACCCUUCAGUUUCGAGGUUUGAGCAUUGAACAGAGAAGCAAUAAUUAAAACAAUACGAUAUGACAGUCGGUUGGGCUUGUCAUCCUAUAUACUCGAUCUCCCCCCUCAAAUAGACAGUUUCAAUGGGAAAAAUCAAAAGAAAAAACAAAAGAAAACAAAAAUAAAACAAAACAAAAAACUGCAAAAAUAGUCAAUUAAUACAUUUUGAAACCGUAUUAAGAGGAAAAUAUACAUAUAUUCAAGUGAAUUCGUAGACACAAGAUCUAAAAUUAAUAGUAAAGGCAACAUGUAAUCUCACUUCUAUGUUAUUGUUAAAUCCUCCCAAUAUCAUCGACAGUCGAUUCAUAUCAUCACCACUCAGAAGACCCAUGACCCCUCUCGCUCGAGCGACCAACCACUCAUAUUUCUACCGAUCAGAUCGCCCCCGAUAGAGUAUCGGGAGUGAAGAUUUCACUGAUUCACUGAUGCAUAUCACAUUUGCACCUAGAACGCAAAGCUUACUCACUGGCAAUCGGCUCGGAUUGUCUUCGAUCCCAAAGGCUCAGCUCGGAAAGCAACUUUUACACCUUUCGUUGAAUGAACACCUAUUUUUCACGUGUGUUUUAGUGCAAUGAGUUAAUAAGUUAAUGGACCAAGCAAGAAAUUAUUUACAAGAAUUGUAUCACACACUUCAAUAUCAGGCUUAAGCUCUCAUGAUCCACCAAGACACAGGCGCACCCUCAUAUAUCAUGGCAAGAAAAGUCCACAAAAAAAAACAGAAAAUCAUUUAAAAAUACACACAAAAAAAAUGUAAAAUCUAC